UGGGGAAUAUUGCACAAUGGGCGCAAGCCUGAUGCAGCCAUGCCGCGUGUGUGAAGAAGGCCUUCGGGUUGUAAAGCACUUUCAGCGAGGAGGAAGGUGGUGAACUUAAUACGUUCAUCAAUUGACGUUACUCGCAGAAGAAGCACCGGCUAACUCCGUGCCAGCAGCCGCGGUAAUACGGAGGGUGCAAGCGUUAAUCGGAAUUACUGGGCGUAAAGCGCACGCAGGCGGUUUGUUAAGUCAGAUGUGAAAUCCCCGGGCUCAACCUGGGAACUGCAUUUGAAACUGGCAAGCUAGAGUCUCGUAGAGGGGGGUAGAAUUCCAGGUGUAGCGGUGAAAUGCGUAGAGAUCUGGAGGAAUACCGGUGGCGAAGGCGGCCCCCUGGACGAAGACUGACGCUCAGGUGCGAAAGCGUGGGGAGCAAACAGGAUUAGAUACCCCUGGUAGUCCACGCUGUAAACGAUGUCGAUUUUGGAGGUUGUGCCCCUUGAGGCGUGGCUUCCGGAGCUAACGCGUUAAAUCGACCGCCUGGGGAGUACGGCC
rnacentral:rRNA from 1 species